CGUGUAGGCUGCUCCGAAAGUCGGGUGUGAAAGCCCAGGGCUCAACCCUGGAAGUGCACUCGAAACUUCGGAGCUUGAGUCCUGGAGAGGAUGGCGGAAUUCUCGGUGUAGAGGUGAAAUUCGUAGAUAUCGAGAGGAACACCGGUGGCGAAGGCGGCUAUCUGGACAGUGACUGACGCUGAGACGCGAAAGCGUGGGGAGCAAACA
rnacentral:rRNA from 1 species